GAUGAACGCUGGCGGCGUGCCUAAUACAUGCAAGUCGAGCGAACGGACGAGAAGCUUGCUUCUCUGAUGUUAGCGGCGGACGGGUGAGUAACACGUGGAUAACCUACCUAUAAGACUGGGAUAACUUCGGGAAACCGGAGCUAAUACCGGAUAAUAUUUUGAACCGCAUGGUUCAAAAGUGAAAGACGGUCUUGCUGUCACUUAUAGAUGGAUCCGCGCUGCAUUAGCUAGUUGGUAAGGUAACGGCUUACCAAGGCAACGAUGCAUAGCCGACCUGAGAGGGUGAUCGGCCACACUGGAACUGAGACACGGUCCAGACUCCUACGGGAGGCAGCAGUAGGGAAUCUUCCGCAAUGGGCGAAAGCCUGACGGAGCAACGCCGCGUGAGUGAUGAAGGUCUUCGGAUCGUAAAACUCUGUUAUUAGGGAAGAACAUAUGUGUAAGUAACUGUGCACAUCUUGACGGUACCUAAUCAGAAAGCCACGGCUAACUACGUGCCAGCAGCCGCGGUAAUACGUAGGUGGCAAGCGUUAUCCGGAAUUAUUGGGCGUAAAGCGCGCGUAGGCGGUUUUUUAAGUCUGAUGUGAAAGCCCACGGCUCAACCGUGGAGGGUCAUUGGAAAUUGGAAAACUUGAGUGCAGAAGAGGAAAGUGGAAUUCCAUGUGUAGCGGUGAAAUGCGCAGAGAUAUGGAGGAACACCAGUGGCGAAGGCGACUUUCUGGUCUGUAACUGACGCUGAUGUGCGAAAGCGUGGGGAUCAAACAGGAUUAGAUACCCUGGUAGUCCACGCCGUAAACGAUGAGUGCUAAGUGUUAGGGGGUUUCCGCCCCUUAGUGCUGCAGCUAACGCAUUAAGCACUCCGCCUGGGGAGUACGACCGCAAGGUUGAAACUCAAAGGAAUUGACGGGGACCCGCACAAGCGGUGGAGCAUGUGGUUUAAUUCGAAGCAACGCGAAGAACCUUACCAAAUCUUGACAUCCUUUGACAACUCUAGAGAUAGAGCCUUCCCCUUCGGGGGACAAAGUGACAGGUGGUGCAUGGUUGUCGUCAGCUCGUGUCGUGAGAUGUUGGGUUAAGUCCCGCAACGAGCGCAACCCUUAAGCUUAGUUGCCAUCAUUAAGUUGGGCACUCUAAGUUGACUGCCGGUGACAAACCGGAGGAAGGUGGGGAUGACGUCAAAUCAUCAUGCCCCUUAUGAUUUGGGCUACACACGUGCUACAAUGGACAAUACAAAGGGCAGCGAAACCGCGAGGUCAAGCAAAUCCCAUAAAGUUGUUCUCAGUUCGGAUUGUAGUCUGCAACUCGACUACAUGAAGCUGGAAUCGCUAGUAAUCGUAGACCAGCAUGCUACGGUGAAUACGUUCCCGGGUCU
rnacentral:rRNA from 1 species